GUUCAAUUUUAAUAUGGGUGCCUCUUAUUUUUUUAUAGUUACAUUCUCUGCGUGUUCAUAGGGUGCCUGUUCUAUUUUUAACAUGUUUAAUUCUACAUUUCGUGUUAUUAUUUAUUUUCAGCAAAUGUUCUCUAUUUCUCUAAUGGGAUUUUUUUCUUUGUGAUUUGUUUCUCAUUAAAUCAACUGCAAGCUCUGAAUUUUGGGUUUGUUGGCUUGAAUUGGAAAGAGAAUUUCUCUGAUUUUGGCUUAUGGAGUUGGUAAUAUUUUACAUUUAGCCACUUUGAGAACUAAUUAUGGUUUCUCUCGAUUUCCUUUAACCUUGAAGGGUAUCUAUCGGAUGAAUCCCCUAGACGAAGAGGGCAGGCAGAUUUGUCUAUGUUCAGAGAUGCUGUCCAGGAUUGCCUUGAUUAUGAGCAAAAACCAGCUAAGAAAGCCGAAAAACUGAAGCAGUGGAGGAACUCAAAUGAAGUGAAUGUGGAGAAGUAUUCGGGGUUAAGGAUAAGGAAUCAAAUGGUCACACCUGCUGAGCUUGCUGAACGGUUUUCAGAUAUCCGUGUUGUCCGCUUACCUGCAAUUAAAAAUCUUUUGGUGGGAGACACUUUCUCUGGAUGCUGGGCUACUGUUGGAGUAUUAACCGAGAAGGGAAAUCCACGCACUAGCUCUGUUGGAAAGAGCUAUUGCAUAUGGAAAAUUGGGUGCUUAGAUGAAAACACGAUUUCUCUUUUCUUGUUUGGUGAUGCUUAUCAGCAGUACUGUAAGGAGCAGGCUGGAACAGUUUUUGCUUUAUUCAAUUGUACUGUACGCAAGGACAAUGCUGGAAAUGGUUUUUCUUUGAGUAUCUAUUCUCCAAAUCAAAUACUAAAGAUGGGCACUUCCAUUGAUUAUGGAGUUUGCAAAGGAAAAAGGAAGGAUGGGAUGUCCUGUACACUAGUCAUAAAUAAACGUCAAGGGAUAUAUUGCAGAUAUCACAAAUUAAAAGCAUCAGAGAGAUUUUCCACAACAAGAACUGAGCUCAAGGGAGGGAACUUGAAGACAGCCUUUCGAGAUCCUCUUCAUUCACAAGGCAUUUACAUGGUCGACCCUUUAGCUGACAAAACAAAUAUAAAAAAACCCACACAGCAUGUGAAAUUACUUUCUGUGGAAGGACUUAAGAAGGCAUUGAGUAAUGCAGAUAAAGUGACAACAAAUACAUUCUCACAGGGCAUAAGAUUUCUUAAUGAAAUAACAGGAAAAAUGAAAUCAAAAAAUUCAACUAAAUUAUCUGUGACACCAAUGCAACCGAUAACUAGCUUAGACAAAAGGAAGUCAUCUACAAUGAAAGUAGAUCCAUCUGUAGUCAUGAAAACUGAACCAGUUGCAAAAAGGAAAAAAACUGACCAGGGGCAAACUUCAGCAGAGAAAUCAAAACAUGAAACAGGAAAGAUGAUUGAAUUAGAAAUCUUUGGUUCAGAUGAAGAAAUAUGAGUCAUUUAUGCUCUGCCCGCUUUGGUCUAUUAUUGUUUAACUUACAAUGUGGAGAAGUUGUACAAGAGCGCCAGAGGCUUUUCCAAUGCAGUGCAGCAGAUGCAUCUAGCUGAACAUGAUCAUGCCUAAUAUUAAGCUAUGCAGAAGAUGCUGUCUUAUGAAAUGGAGUUACAGUCAUAAAAUCUUGGUCUUUAAGAAGUGAGAAUAAUUGAGCAACUGGAGUGAAGUGUUCCAUGGCUCCAUCAUUUCAAGUAAAUCUUGCAAGCUCAUGAAUGCCCGGCUUGUAAGUUACAAAAGUUUGAACUUAUUUUAUAUUUCAAAUUUCAAUUGAGUUAAUUUGUUAUACUAACAAAGAAAAGUUGAAAAUAUAACAAAACCACUUGUAGCACAACGCUGAUCUGUCUAUCAAAUUGUUUCUUCUUAUAGGCAUUAAUUGUUUACCAUUCUGUAGGG
rnacentral:misc_RNA from 1 species